rnacentral:hammerhead_ribozyme from 1 species
AUCAUGCUGACGAGUCCGAAAUAGAACGAAACGCGCGUUCUGUAU